rnacentral:rRNA from 1 species
AACGAACGCUGGCGGCAUGCCUAACACAUGCGAGUCGAACGAGACCUUCGAGUCUAGUGGCGCACGGGUGCGUAACGCGUGGGAACCUGCCCUUAGGUUCGGAAUAACUCCCCGAAAGGGGUGCUAAUACCGGAUAAUGUCUUCGGACCAAAGAUUUAUCGCCUUUGGAUGGGCCCGCGUUGGAUUAGCUAGUUGGUAGGGUAAAAGCCUACCAAGGCGACGAUCCAUAGCUGGUCUGAGAGGAUGAUCAGCCACACUGGGACUGAGACACGGCCCAGACUCCUACGGGAGGCAGCAGUGGGGAAUAUUGGACAAUGGGCGAAAGCCUGAUCCAGCAAUGCCGCGUGAGUGAUGAAGGCCUUAGGGUUGUAAAGCUCUUUUACCCGGGAUGAUAAUGACAGUACCGGGAGAAUAAGCUCCGGCUAACUCCGUG